rnacentral:rRNA from 1 species
GAUGAACGCUGGCGGCGUGCCUAAUACAUGCAAGUCGAGCGAACAGACGAGGAGCUUGCUCCUCUGACGUUAGCGGCGGACGGGUGAGUAACACGUGGAUAACCUACCUAUAAGACUGGGAUAACUUCGGGAAACCGGAGCUAAUACCGGAUAAUAUAUUGAACCGCAUGGUUCAAUAGUGAAAGACGGUUUUGCUGUCACUUAUAGAUGGAUCCGCGCCGCAUUAGCUAGUUGGUAAGGUAACGGCUUACCAAGGCAACGAUGCGUAGCCGACCUGAGAGGGUGAUCGGCCACACUGGAACUGAGACACGGUCCAGACUCCUACGGGAGGCAGCAGUAGGGAAUCUUCCGCAAUGGGCGAAAGCUUGACGGAGCACCGCCGCGUGAGUGAUGAAGGUCUUCGGAUCGUAAAACUCUGUUAUUAGGGAAGAACAAAUGUGUAAGUAACUAUGCACGUCUUGACGGUACCUAAUCAGAAAGCCACGGCUAACUACGUG